rnacentral:rRNA from 1 species
UACGAAGGGGGCUAGCGUUGCUCGGAAUUACUGGGCGUAAAGGGAGCGUAGGCGGACAUUUAAGUCAGGGGUGAAAUCCCAGAGCUCAACUCUGGAACUGCCUUUGAUACUGGGUGUCUUGAGUGUGAUAGAGGUAUGUGGAACUCCGAGUGUAGAGGUGAAAUUCGUAGAUAUUCGGAAGAACACCAGUGGCGAAGGCGACAUACUGGAUCAUUACUGACGCUGGAGGCUCGAAAAGCGUGGGGAGCAAACAGG